rnacentral:rRNA from 1 species
AAAGUGCGACGGGGGGAUCCCAAGUGUUAUGCUUUUUUGUAUGACUUUUCAUUAGUGUAAAAAGCUUUUAGAAUAAGAGCUGGGCAAGACCGGUGCCAGCCGCCGCGGUAACACCGGCAGCUCGAGUGGUAGCUGUUUUUAUUGGGCCUAAAGCGUUCGUAGCCGGUUUGAUAAGUCUUUGGUGAAAGCUUGUAGCUUAACUAUAAGAAUUGCUGGAGAUAAUAUUAGACUUGAAGUCGGGAGAGGUUAGAGGUACUACCGGGGUAGGGGUGAAAUCCUAUAAUCCUGGGAGGACCACCUGUGGCGAAGGCGUCUAACUGGAACGAUCUUGACGGUGAGUAACGAAAGCCAGGGGCGCGAACCGGAUUAGAUACCCGGGUAGUCCUGGCCGUAAACGAUGUGGACUUGGUGUUGGAAUGGCUUUGAGUUGUUCCGGUGCCGAAGGGAAGCUGUUAAGUCCACCGCCUGGGAAGUACGGUCGCAAGACUGAAACUUAA